rnacentral:rRNA from 1 species
GGGGAAUAUUGCACAAUGGAGGAAACUCUGAUGCAGCGACGCCGCGUGGAGGAAGAAGGUCUUCGGAUUGUAAACUCCUGUCUUUGGGGACGAUAAUGACGGUACCCAAGGAGGAAGCACCGGCUAACUACGUGCCAGCAGCCGCGGUAAAACGUAGGGUGCAAGCGUUGUCCGGAAUUACUGGGUGUAAAGGGAGCGCAGGCGGAAGGGCAAGUUGGGAGUGAAAACUAUGGGCUCAACUCAUAGAUUGCUUUCAAAACUGCUUUUCUUGAGUGGUGUAGAGGUAGGCGGAAUUCCCGGUGUAGCGGUGGAAUGCGUAGAUAUCGGGAGGAACACCAGUGGCGAAGGCGGCCUACUGGGCACUAACUGACGCUGAGGCUCGAAAGUAUGGGUAGCAAAC